rnacentral:tRNA from 1 species
GGGAGUGUCCGCAUACCUGGUGGUGGCCGCGGCCUUCAAAGCCGUCGAGGGGUUGCUCACGCAGUCCCUGGUGGGUUCGAUUCCCAUCCACUCCCG